rnacentral:rRNA from 1 species
UUAUUACCGACGCAAAUUUUGCUGCGGGCAGCUGCUUGGGUACUACGAGCGUGUGCUUAAAACUCAAAGAACUUGGCGGCUAGUUAACUACCUAGGGGAAUAUGCGCCUUAAUCCGAUGGUCCCCGUAGCAUCUUACUGUGCCUUGAAGGAGUUCAGCUGGUGUAUUGCCGUUGUCAGCUUGUAGUACGAGCGAAGAGAAACAGGCUCAAUGGAACUUCUGAUAAGUUCAGAUAGGGUCCUUGAAUUCAGGUCGAAAUGCUGCCUAUGGCUCAAGGGAGUGGGUGUUACAAUUUCAAAUUAAAAUUACGGAUUUCGGGAUGAAGUGCCCGGGCUGAAGGCGAACUUAGGAGUAAGGGAAGAUUAAUAUGCUCCUCUGAACGUGAUUCUAACUUUUGUACAAACUGCCCGUCGCUCUCGCCGAGAGGUGAGAU